UGAAGAGCAGGAAAAGCGGUUUUAACAGCUGAGUUUCGAUUUCUCUCUAAGCAGCAGGGUGCAGGGCCAGCAGAGAACUUCCUCAUUCAUUCUCCACUGGGGCCCCUCUGAUUUUAGCACAUUUUAACAGCCUGGGCCGAGCCUGCCUACAGCUCAAGUGAUAAACUUCAGCCAACUACAGGCUCCAGAAAAGUCUGAGGUGAUUGUGUGGCUGGUUUCAUUCAUCCCGUGGUCACAGUGUGGGCCAUGCAAAGAUGUCUGACGCUCCUUCCAUAUUCUAGGAAGCAGGGAACAGGAGGAAACUCAGAUACUUGAAGCACGAGAGCGAUGACACACUGUUGCUGGCUGAAAGGGGACUUAAGGAGCUUGUAAGGACCUCGACUCAUGACCAGAAGGAAAACACAGGUCUCCGUCCUACCACCACGAGUACCUGAAGCCACCAACAACCCAAAUGAGCUUGGGAGUGGGUUUACCAGGGCCUCCAGACAGGAAGGCAGUCUUAGAGGCACCUUGGCUUCAGCUUCAGGGUAGACUGCUGUAGAGUCCUGCUGCCAAAUUCCCUUGGAUUCUGUGAAAAAUGAAUUAAUCUCAACGAGUGCUACACAACUUGUUACAGCAGCAAUAGAAACCAAAUACAGAUGGGCAUUGAUGUAAAUAUAUAAAUAUAUAAAUUUCCAUCAUAGACAUGUCAUUCUCGAUGAGCCCUGUGAUAGUGAAUAUAUUAUUAUCAACUUGACAGGAGGUAGAAUAAACUAAGGGACAAAGUUCGUUUGUAGGUACGCUUGUGAGGGACUAUCUAGAUAGCUUCGCAUCUCGGCCUGUCUGUAAGAGAUUAUCUUUAUCGAGGUGGGAAAAUAUGCCCAGUGUGGGUACUUCUAUUCCAUGGGCUUGGGUCUCACAUUGAAUAAAAAAGAAUAAAUCAAA